AGAGUUUGAUCAUGGCUCAGAGCGAACGCUGGCGGCAUGCUUAACACAUGCAAGUUGCACGGGCAGGGGUAACUCUGUCAGUGGCGGACGGGUGAGUAACGCGUAGGUAUCUAUCCUCGGGUGGGGGACAACCACGGGAAACUGUGGCUAAUACCGCAUGAUGACUGAGGUCCAAAGGCGCAAGUCGCCUGGGGAGGAGCCUGCGUCCGAUUAGCUUGUUGGUGGGGUAAAGGCCUACCAAGGCUCCGAUCGGUAGCUGGUCUGAGAGGAUGAUCAGCCACACUGGGACUGAGACACGGCCCAGACUCCUACGGGAGGCAGCAGUGGGGAAUAUUGGACAAUGGGCGAAAGCCUGAUCCAGCAAUGCCGCGUGGGUGAAGAAGGUCUUCGGAUUGUAAAGCCCUUUCGACGGGGACGAUGAUGACGGUACCCGUAGAAGAAGCCCCGGCUAACUUCGUGCCAGCAGCCGCGGUAAUACGAAGGGGGCUAGCGUUGCUCGGAUUGACUGGGCGUAAAGGGCGCGUAGGCGGUUCGUACAGUCAGACGUGAAAUUCCUGGGCUCAACCUGGGGGCUGCGUUUGAUACGUGCGGACUUGAGUGCGGAAGAGGGUCGUGGAAAUUUCCCAGUGUAGAGGUGAAAUUUCGUAGAUAUUGGGAAGGAACACCGGUGGCGAAGGGCGGCGACCUGGUCCGAUACUGACGCUGAGGCGCGAAAAGCGUGGGGGAGCAAACAGGAAUUAGAUACCCCCGUAGUCC
rnacentral:rRNA from 1 species